rnacentral:rRNA from 1 species
UACGUAGGGUGCGAGCGUUAAUCGGAAUUACUGGGCGUAAAGCGUGCGCAGGCGGUGAUGUAAGACAGGUGUGAAAUCCCCGGGCUCAACCUGGGAACUGCAUCCGAGACUGCAUUGCUAGAGUAUGGGAGAGGGAAGCGGAAUUUCUGGUGUAGCAGUGAAAUGCGUAGAUAUCAGAAGGAACAUCAGUGGCGAAGGCGGCUUCCUGGACCAAUACUGACGAUCAGGUGCGAAAGCGUGGGGAGCAAACAGG